rnacentral:rRNA from 1 species
GAUGAACGCUGGCGGCGUGCCUAACACAUGCAAGUCGAACGGACGGACGAGACGCUUGCUUCUCUGUUGUUUGCGGCGGACGGGUGAGUAACACGUGUAUACCCUACCUAUCAGACUGAGAUAACUUCGGGAAACCGGAUCUUAUACCGGAGAAUCUUUUGAAGCGCAUGGUUCAAAAGUGAAAGACGGCGUUGCGGGCACUUAUAGAUGGAUCCCGGCUGCAUUAGCUGGUUGGUAAGGUAACGGGCUACCAAGGCAAGUAUGCAUAGCCGACGUGAGAGGCUGGUCGGCGACAUGGGAGGGGGGACAGGGUCCAGACUACUGCGGGAGGGAGCAGUAGGGAAUCGUCGGCAAUGGGCGGAAGCCUGACGGAGCAGCGCCGAGUGUGAUGUGACAGUCUUGGGAGCGGAAUGCCCGGUUAUUAGGGGAGAACAGAUUUGUAAGUAGCUGAACAGAGCUUGACGGUACCUAGUCAGAAAGCAACGGCUAACUACGUG